rnacentral:hammerhead_ribozyme from 1 species
AUUUAUCUGACGAAUCCCAAAUAGGACGAAACGCGCGUUCAGGAU